AUAAUAUUAUGUAACUUACUUAAGUAGUUCUUCGCGUUAUAUACCUACUGUAGAUUAUUUCUUUAAGUAAUUAGUUAAUAGGUACCUUCGUUGCAGAUAGGCACCGAGGACAAACCUCUGUGGUUUUUUCGGUGUUUUUAGUUUAAGCUUUUAUUUGUAUGUAUUUUGUUUUGAUAAUAAAU